rnacentral:rRNA from 1 species
AAUGAACGUUGGCGGCGUGGAUUAGGCAUGCAAGUCGAGCGAGAACCCGCAAGGGGGACAGCGGCAAACGGGGUAGGAAUGAUUGGUGACGUACCCUCGGGACGGGGAUAGCCACGGGAAACUGUGGGUAAUACCCGAUAAUCUCCCAGGUUUGAAGACCUGGGUGCAAAGGUGUGAUUCCACCGGAGGAGCGGCCAAUCUGGUAUUAGCUAGUUGGUAGGGUAACGGCCUACCAAGGCUACGAUGCCUAGGGGGUGUGAGAGCAUGGCCCCCACCACUGGGACUGAGAUACUGCCCAGACACCUACGGGUGGCUGCAGUCGAGAAUCUUCGGCAAUGGGCGAAAGCCUGACCGAGCGACGCCGCGUGCGGGAUGAAGGCCUUCGGGUUGUAAACCGCUGUCAGAGGGGAUGAAGUUCUAGGAGGUUCUCCUUCUAGAUUGACAGAGCCUCAGAGGAAGCACGGGCUAAGUAUGUGCCAGCAGCCGCUGUAAUAC